rnacentral:lncRNA from 1 species
AGAAAUUAGUUCCACAUGUUUAACAUUGUUUGUACCAUACUUGACCAAUCCCGAAACUACCGAGCACCGGCCAACGCUAUACUGUCAAGGACCCAGAAGAGUUCCCCUCCGACCAGGAGGCCAAUCACUACUCGACACGUGUCAAGAUUAGAAGCCAAUCAGAGCGCAGCACAUGUCGACAUCAAGAACCAAUCAUAACAUGACACAUGUCAAUGUGACAAAGCUACAAGUUUUUCUAUAAAUAGGGGUCAUUCCCCCACAAUAUUGGCUAAUGCCAUUUUGUGUUAAAUCAUUCACAAGAACUCACUAAAUUGAGAGCUUUGAUCCUUUGUACUUGUGUAAGCCCUUCACUACUAAUAAGAACUCCUCUACUCCGUGGACGUAGCCAAUCUGGGUGAACCACGUAUAUCCUGUGUUUGCUUCUCUGUCUCUAUUCAUUUACGUACUUAUCCUCACUAGUGACGGAAGCAACCAAGCGAAGGUCACAAAAACCUGACACUUUCUGUUGUACCAAAGUCUUCGCUGAUUUUGUGCAUCAACAUUUGGCGCCGUCUGUGGGGAAACGACACUUAUUCCUACUCUCUUCAGCUGUGUCAAGCUGGUUUCUAUCAUUCGUACACUUUCUUUUGAUCAGGCAUCCCUCUCCAGCAUGGGAAGCGAAGGAAGCCACAGCACACAGAAUGACACCCCCCUUGCACAUAGUGCGAAACAACGAAAGAAGGAAGGAAAACGAGUUCUUCUUCAAGCUAAAGUCGAUGAGUUGGAAGCUCAGAACAACAAGAUAGCAAUGAGGAAUGAGGUCCUCCAGGAGCAAUAUGAGAAGCUCUUCGAGACACUUCACGAAGCUAGGCAAGCUCAGACACGCGAGCUUGUUGCCCCCGUGGAAGUCAACCAUCAACUGGGUGCCCUCCAACAUGGAGGGUCACAUGCAUUCGACAUAGAUAUCCCUGAUAGGGAACAAAUUACCCCUCGAUUUGAUAAUCAACAUGAGGCUUCUCUUAACCCAGUUGCUUCGACCCGAACCAUGAGAAGCGGAGGGAGACACCUCUUUGCUGAAGGGGCAGAAGGAUCGAAAGCCGUCUUUCGCGAUUGUCGGGAUUUCCUGAAGCAACGUCGAAAGAAUUCCAUCCAUAUAAGCUCAAAGAUCAAUGACCCAAGGAUUUCUGAGAGACUCGGUCCCCUGCCACGGCCCGAGCCGGCCACCAACUUGGGGAAGGUGCAACAAGUCCUAGAGAGACAUGAGAGGUACAGGGGACUCAGAGGUGUUCCGACAGACAUACCCUGGAAGCCAGUACAGCGAGUCCAGGGAAAAAUCACAUGCCCUUGAUCAAACCUUCCUAAUUCCAAGAGGAGAUGGAGAUUUACGAAAGAAAGCUCCAGUGGCACAUAACUCCGCUCAGGACCCCUUGUCCUACAACUUCUUGAGGAAGUAAACAAGUUGAAGGCCUGAACGUCAGGCUGAAAUACCUUACUGGAACCAACCCAGGCCUGGCCCUCUUACAAGGAGGAUCCUCAACACCCCCCUUCAAGCAAAGACAAAGCAGAAGCUUGGCUUGCAACUUUAUACUGGAAAAGAGGACCCGAUUGAGCACCUUAACCUCUUUGAGUCCACCAUGGCAUACCGGAUGCACACCGACGAAGAGCGAUGUCUUCUCUUCCCCUCCACCCUCUCUGGCGGAGCUCUAAAUUGGUAUUGUCGUCUUACACCUGAGACGGUAGACUCAUUUGAGGAAUUGAGGAAACUAUUUGUUUCCCAACACAUUUUCCAAACCGAUCGCUUGCACUCUGCAGAUGACCUGUACACUAUCCGCCAGAGGCCAGACGAGUCAUUACGUAUGUAUGCUGGCCGCUUCAGCCAUGAAUACUCCCGGUGUGCCGAGGCAGACGACAAGACUGCCCUCAAAGCCUUCACGGCAGGCCUACGUGAUUGUUUCUUUAAAUACAUGAUCAAUGCCAAUACUUGGAAGACUUACUCUGAGGUGAUGGCGCAGGCUUAUAACCAUGCCUCCGCCGAGGUAAAGACAUAUCAGGAGAAACCCCCUCACCCAACGCCAUGGAGGAAGAACUAGCAAUAGCUAAAGUUUGACGGUUGGGAAGAUCAUCCAAUGUUUCUCUAGUACAAGACUCUAACAAAGACCCUGAAGACUCCGACAUUGCAGACUCAGACUUAGAGCUAAAGCUAGAAGAGCCCUCAUCACUAGAACUUCCAGGCUCUGACAUCUACAAUAAGAAGAAACAAAUUCUAUCACUACAUGCAUGAUCAAAACAUAAGGAAGUUCCUAUAUUACCCACAUGAAGAUGGUGCAAAGCGAUGCCGGAACCCUUCUCAAUCAGAAAGCAAUCCGUCUUCCACAGUCACUACAAAACAAGCAAAUGAAGACCGUGUCAAGCGCCAAAAAAAAAAAAAAAAAAAAAAAAAAAAAAAAAACAGCUUCAUCCUAAAAGCUUCACCCGAACAGCUUCACCUAAAAAAGCUUCACCCACAAAGCUUCACCUAAAAAGCUUCACCCAAAAAGCUUCACCUCCAAAACUUCACCCAAAAAGCUUCAUCCAACAAGUUUCACCCAAAAAGCUUCACCUAAAAAAGCUUCACCCAAAAAAAAAAAAAAAAAAAAAAAAAAAAAAAAAACUUCACCUCCAAAAAGCUUCACCCAAACAGCUUCACCUAAAAAAGCUUCACCCACAAAGCUUCACCUAAAAAAGCUUCACCCACAAAGCUUCACCCAAAAAAACUUCACCCGAAAAGCUUCACUUAAAAAAGCUUCACCUACACAGCUUCACCUAAAAAAGCUUCACCUAGAAAGCUCCCUCUACAUACUUUCACCUACAAAGCUUCACCAUCAAAGCUUCACCUCGAAAGCUUCAUCUACAAAGCUUCAUCUACAAAGCUUCACCAUCAAAGCUUCACCCAAAAAGCUUCACCUAAAAAAGCUUCACCCAAAAAAAAACUUCACCUCCAAAAAGCUUCACCCAAACAGCUUCACCUAAAAAAGCUUCACCCACAAAGCUUCACCUAAAAAGCUUCACCCACAAAGCUUCACCCAAAAAACUUCACCCGAAAAGCUUCACUUAAAAAAGCUUCACCUAAAAAAGCUUCACCUAGAAAGCUUCACCUACAUAGCUUCACCCAGAAAGCUUCACCAUCAAAGCUUCACCUAGAAAGCUUCAACACCAAAGCUUCACCUACAAAGCUUCAACACAAAACCUUGCUCCAAAUAAACAAAUUUUGUUCACAAAACCCAAGAUGCCCUUGAACUUGUACAAAAACACAGGUCAACACAAACAUUUGUUUUGUUUCUACACCCACAACAUCCCUGUCAUAACCAAACAAGCAAUUAUGUAUAUGUUUCCAAACAUAUUAUAAUAGAUCCAACAACAAGCCAAAGUCCCAAGUUUCAUAAUGGACAAAAGUACAAGCAAUUCAUCAAUAAUGAAGGUGCUACAAAAACUUGGAAUCUGCCCCAAAAUAGAAAUCCAACCCAAGAGACUUUUUCUCUCUCUCCCUCUUCCGCCUCCUUUCAUCUAUCAAAUUUCUGCAACCUCUUCUCUUCUCCAAUGGAGCUGAAUUUUGGACACCCUAUAGUUUUUGAGCAUAUGAACAACUUUCAAGAAGGAACCAUUUCUGUUUGAGCGACGGAAAUUAAAGUGUUGAAGCUCCAAACAUGACAGUCGGAUUCUUGCAGAUUUCGAAGCUGCUAUGAUGUUUCGAAGAUCUGGAAAUAUUUAACCAUUAGUUCAUUCUGAAUUUUUGAUAUGUAAUGAAAGAGACGAUGAGGCACAACUUCAAUGAAGAAAGCAUGCUGAUCUGAACAAUAGAAAAUGGAGUUUCGAAGCUCACAACAAAUCUGACGGGUUGACAGACAAAUGAUAAACAGUCACUCAUCAUACCUGGAUUUCUGGAGUUAUACUGCUCUGAGGGACCUCAAAAUUUGGAUAUGUUGUAGUUCACAAGUUAAGGAACAACUUCGAUGAAGAAAGUAUGUUGAUCUGAACAAGAGAAAAUGGAGUUUCGAAGCUCACAACAAGUCUGACAGGUUGACAGAAAAAUGAUGAACAGUCACUCAUCAUACCUGAAUUUCUGGGUUUGUACUGCUCCGAUGGAUCUCAAAUUUGGAUAUGUUGUAGCUGACAAGGUGAGGAACAACUUCGAUGAAGAAAGUAUGUUGAGAUGAACAAGAAAAAAUGGAGUUUAGAAGCUCACAACAAGUCUGACGGGUUAACAGAAAAUUGAUGAACAGUUACUCAUCAUACCUGAAUUUCUGGAGUUGUACUACUCCGAUGGAUCUCAAAUUUGGAGAUGUUGUAGUUCACAAGAUAAGGAACAACUUUCAUGAAGACGACUUUGCGAUCUGAGCUAUAGAGAAUGGUGUUAUCUUGCAUCCACUCAGGCUGAUUAGUGGGAAACGAAAAGCAAUUCCACCAAAGAAAAGAUGAAAAAGAGAGAAAAGCUACUAAUUGCACUUGAUCUUGUCUAGUCAAUAGCAUGCAGCAUCAAACACACAAAAGUUGGAAAUAUUUUUAGAUAAGGCAUAUGCGAAUGUGUGACAUCGAAACAAGGAUUCGUUACUUUGACAAAUUAGUAACAAGCGAGACAUCUCAUUCGGCAACUCUCUUCGCCUGAAGACUUGGGGGACUCCCACCAUAUGCUACUGCACCUUAAUACUCGGCAGUCUCACAACCACUCAGUGACUUGGAUUUUUCAAGUCUCCAACCGAGAAGUUUUCCUCACUCAGGAAAUUAAGGGAACACUACCUCAAACUACAUGCUUCACUCACAAAGCUUCAACAAUACAGGUUUCAACAAAAGCAAAAAAUUCAAAGAACUUUAUGAAGAAGGCUUUGGUGUAUAUUUAACACAAUAUAUUGAAAUGAAGCAAAGCUUAUUUAUUAAUAUUUUCGAUAAGCCACAAAUAUGUACAUAUACAUGAGUCAAAAUAAACAAACAAAAGGGAGCCUUCACAAAGGUUGCUUAGGGGAAGUCUCAGCAGUCGGUAGAGCCCCAGAAAGAGAAAGCACCGGAGGGUGGUUAUCCGGAGCCUCAGUACUUGACAAAACCCCAGAAGGAGGAGGCAUUGGAGGUUCAUCAUUUGAAGCUUCAUUACCAGGUACAGCCCCAGAGGACGAAGGCAAUAAAUGCCUUUGGAACAAACCCACAAACCGCUGAUGAUCAAGUAAAACCUUACCAUCAGAUUCCUUCAUCUGGUCAAGCUUCCUCUUCAUGUUUGUAGCAUAGUCAUGGGCGAGCCGGUGCAACUGCUUAUUCUCAUGCUUGAGCCCUCUAAUCUCCUGUUUGAGACUCAUCACUUCAGCAGCCAAUGAUUCAACUUGGCGGGUUCUAGCAAAUAGGCGUUGGGCCAUAUUAGACACAGAACCUGCACACUGAACACUAAGAGCCAGAGAGUCCUUAACAGCCAACUCAUCAGACCGUUUGGAAAGUAGUCUGUUAUCUUUGGGAGUGAGAAGGUUCCUGGCCACCACUGCAGCGGUCAUAUCAUUCUUCAUCACAGAAUCCCCAACGGUAAGAGGACCAGUAGGGGAUAUGAAGGAUGGGCGCCAUAUGUUGUCUGGAGAAGGCGUGGCUGUCUCUUCUCCAAGGUUCAGGUCAAAACGACGGUCGGAGGGUCCAGACAUUUUCAAAUGUGUUGAAGAAGGAAGAGGUCAGACAAAUCAAGAUCUUAGAAGUGCAAGAAAUGAGCUUCUACUGGUAGAGAUUCAGGUGUGCUGUGGAACUUAAUACCAGCCUCUAUAAAAAUCUGCACUCGACGGAGCUUCAGAAAUCGAAGAGGCGUUUGCUUUCUCAAAAGCUGGGCUGCUCAGAGACCACGAGGGCCGAUCUCAGAAAUCGAAGAGGCGUUUGCUUUCUCAAAAGCUGGGCUGCUCAGAGACCACGAGGGCCGAUCUCAGAAAUCGAAGAAGCACCUGCUUUUUUCAGCCUCGUCAGCACCUGUCACGUGCACAAUCAGCUUUGCGGAAAAUUACGGGCAAUCUGUCGAAGAUUUCUGGUGAAGUAAAAAGCACGUGAAUCUUACUGUUCAAUCACCGCUCUCUCCAUAUGCACCAUCAACUCCUCGGGUACCACAUAUAACUUUGUCAAAGAUCUCUGACAAAGUUUAGGCACGAGAAUUUCGAAGUUCCAGCUACCCUACUAUUACCCAUAAGGGUAAAGGAACAGCACCACUGCUUGACAACUGGAAAGUCCCUAUGUGUGUCGACCUCCGUGUUUUGCGGCAAGACAGGUUGGCAAGAACGUCCAACCUUUACUCACAUUCAAGAAAAGACUCCCAACAUAAUUACUUUCUCAAAAACCGGAGUAGCACCGCUUUCCGAAUCUCGAGAGUCAGAUCCUCGACGGGAUUGCUUGUUCGAAAACCGAAGAGGCACAACUCUCAGAACUUCGAGAGCCAGAUUUCCUUAGAUAAAGCUUGUCUGUAAUCUUCACACGUAAUAUCAGCUUUCCAGAUACCACAUACCACUUUUUCAAAGUGCUCUGACAAAAUUAAAACACGUGAAGCUGGCAAGAAGGGUAAAGGAAUAGCAUUACUACUUGUUAUUGGGAAAUCCCUAUAUACAUUGACCUCCCUCCUCAACGGACAGGCAAACCUGCAAAAAUGCUCAACCCUUUCUCGCAUUCGAAAAGGCACCCUCAACAUAACCUCUCGAAAUACUCAGCUUUAUUUCCCCCCGAUAAUACCUCAGCAAAUAAGCCACACCAAGAACAAGAGUAUCUCAUAUCAUCAGGGUCGAAAGCAAGAGUAUCCCAUAUCAUGCUUUCUCCCUAUCUUUGUCUUUGUCCUUGUCCACACCUGCAGGACAAGGAGAAAGAGAGCAGUCAGUCGGAACCUGAAAUCAAACCUCCAAUUUGGAACUGACUGCCUGGAGCCUUUGCCUGGUUGCUUACUUAGCAUUGCUCUCGAGUACUCAUCCUCAACUGCUGUCAAGGUCACGAAUUCCACCGGCAAAUACCUCAUGACAGUUGAUCAGAUAUUGGCUCUUUACACUGAAGCUGCCAAGCAUGGAUGAGUCACUAUGAAGGAAUGUUCUGAAGGACCAUUUAAAUGCAAAGGUUGCACACCACUUCUGCCAUGCAAAAGAUUGAAGCAGAAGGUUCAACGGUGAGCUGAAACAGAUCACUACAGCACGACACCUUUCCAUACCACAUUCAUUAUUCCGUCAACAGCAAAAGUAUCCCAUAUCAUCAAGGUCGAACGUACUCUAGAUUUGAUGGACUUGUUUUUGACCCUCAAAUUUUUGAGUCGGCCUUAUACUCUGAAGGGCACCAGAAAACCUUCCAGCACAGUUCAAGAAUAAGCCUGUGGAAAGUUACUUCUUCAAAAGCAAAAGUAUCUCAUAUCAUCUCUUAUCCAUUUGCUUCUCCUUAUCCUGGCAGUUGAAUGAGAGACAAGGAGAAGGAGAACAAUCAACCGGAAGCCGAAGUCAAACCUCUGAUCCUGGGUUGCUUACUUGGAAGUUUGACUGCUUACCUUGUCUGUCACCUCUUUCGGCAGAUCUCCUAGCUCGGCGACUUGGGGGACUCCUACUAUAGGGUUUGUAUCACACUUGACUAAGCCCGAAACUACAACUAAGCUUCAAGUGAAAUUGAUACAUUACUUUGUGCGUCAACAUCAGCUAAAUACACCAUUCCCGGAUGGAGGAAAGGUACUUCCAGAGAAGGGCAGAUGAAGAUCAGACCACACUUCGGUACUUAGAAGUUUCGUGAUUACUCAAGGGAUUGGAUCUUGCAAGUCCCCAACCGAGGAGUUUCCCUCACUCGGGAACUUAGGGGAGCACUGUUUGUACCAUACUUGACCAAUCCCGAAACUACCGAGCACCGGCCAACGCUAUACUGUCAAGGACCCAGAAGAGUUCCCCUCCGACCAGGAGGCCAAUCACUACUCGACACGUGUCAAGAUUAGAAGCCAAUCAGAGCGCAGCACGUGUCGACAUCAAGAACCAAUCAUAACAUGACACAUGUCAAUGUGACAAAGCUACAAGUUUUUCUAUAAAUAGGGGUCAUUCCCCCACAAUAUUGGCUAAUGCCAUUUUGUGUUAAAUCAUUCACAAGAACUCACUAAAUUGAGAGCUUGAUCCUUUGUACUUGUGUAAGCCCUUCACUACUAAUAAGAACUCCUCUACUCCGUGGACGUAGCCAAUCUGGGUGAACCACGUACAUCCUGUGUUUGCUUCUCUGUCUCUAUUCAUUUACGUACUUAUCCUCACUAGUGACGGAAGCAACCAAGCGAAGGUCACAAAACCUGACACUUUCUGUUGUACCAAAGUCUUCGCUGAUUUUGUGCAUCAACAAACAUAAUUGAAAAGCAAGUUAAAUUAAACAUAAAAACAGAAACAAAGAAUGAAAGAACUCCAAACACUCCACUAAUGGCAGAUUGCAUGUGCAAGGCUUCUCCCUCCUUUGGACUGCACGGCACUACUUCUUCCUCCUCCAAUGGUGGCUGCACAAGGUGGUGAUGGUGGUGGGAAGGCACGGCAAGGGUGGAUUGUGGCAGAAAUAUGGGAGUUUGGGGGUGGAAGGUUGCGGCAGGGAGAGAACUAGGGUUUUUGGCGUGAAUGAA